ensembl:antisense 4933431E20Rik RIKEN cDNA 4933431E20 gene
AGGCGCAGCUGCUGCGGCUCCUGAAAUCCUCCGGUGUGAACUUCUCCCAGGGCUGUUGAUGCUUCAUCUACUCUUCUGGCAGUGGGGGCCUGGACCUUAGUUACCCGGGGUGCGUGAGUCAUGUUGCACAGUUGAGCUGGCACAUAAAACUACGAGUUUAUAGAACAAGGAAUUGAAGCUUGGAGAAGAUUGAUGGACCACUCAAGUUCCCUGGAUGGUCCAGGAUGCAGACUGAGGAUGGCCUAAAACAUUAGUUUUGCUGGCUCCCUGUGCUUGGCUAACCUUAGAGCCUCUUACCUUGCCACAGUCUUUUCUAUGAAGGACAGAGAGCCAAGGAGUGGACCAACAUGCCUGAGUUUACACAGUGGACCUGAGGACCGUCACCUCCCAGUGCAAUGUUCCUGUGUACUGCCACUGAAGAGACAGGUGGGAGGGAGCUCAAGGUUGACUUGCCUAACAACCAUUGCUUGAAAGACAAAGCUCCCAAGGAGAGCACAAGAUACCUCACUCGAGACUCCUCUGCAUCACCAACCAGUGUGAACAAAGCCUGCAGCUGUCAGCAGAGUAUUCUUUGUCUCGGUGACACGCUGUGCCUACAGUUGGACUAGAAACUUUGGAUUAGGGUGUGAGUCGUGCCCCAUAGGACAGAGGUGGUGCAUGUAGCCUCAUUUUGGAGUUUAUUUAGAGAGGAGAAAGAAUGUACCAUAGUCCCCAAAGGCUCUAGGUUACAGUGAAUUCUCUUUAGUUCAGUUAUAGUUUAGUUUAGCUUGGUUUGGUUAGCUGUGGUUCCGUUCUGUUCCGUUCUGUUCAGUUCGGUUCAGUUCGGUUCAGUUGCAGAGUUGUUGCUCUUUCAUGCUUUGCAUCCCAACUCCCUGCUCUCUCUUGGCUUUGGUUCCCAUCAGGUCCAGAAUAAAUGGCAAGGAGAGGGUCAUAGAACAAGCUAAACGAUGCUUUUUAUUGGCAGGAUUGGGACUAAAGAGAUCAGGAGUAAGACUGGGAAUAAGUAUGCCAACUUAGGGUGUGGGGUAAAAUAAAUAGUAACCGGUGAGGGUCUCCAACCCAAUAAGAUACCAUUUGCCUCAGUGUCUUGGACCUGUUCAUCUUCUUUGCUUUGUGAUCCAGGAUAUGUGGCUUGCCACUAACUGAAAGAGGACUUCCAAGGGCUCUAACUGGGUACCAAAUACUCCAUCUUGCACAUGAGAGGUCCUUGGUCUUAGAGGUAUUCGAGCUGGUCUCUAAUGAGUCAUCUGAAGGGAGAAAAUAAUUCAGAUGGGGCUGGUUCCUAGUGAGGGACUCCCCAGAGUUUAUACCACCAAUGUGAUUAGAACUUCAAGACACACCUGAACGGAUGGAGCUGAGUCCCCAGAGGAAUAGCCCAUGCCUAGUGUCCCCAGCUCUCCCUUUCUCACCCCAGGAGAAUUAAAUUCCUCUGAAUAGGAGUCAGGAUCCCAGAGCUUCCUCACCCCCAGCAUCCUUCUGACAGCGUCCAGCCGGGCCUGGAUCCGUGGAGCCUCCUGUGGACACAGCAUCUGCAGCUCCCCAGGUCUCAUGUGAAGUAGCUGGCUUCCCAUUAGGGACCCGAGGGUCCUUACAGUGCUGUAAAUAACAAUGGUAGAAUCCACCAGAAGUAGGGUGGGCAGAUUCUAGGUCUUAGUAUUUGUGUAGAGAAGGAAAGUUGGGGUUACAGGAAUUAGGUAUCUGCAGGUACAGGGAUACACCUAGUGGUUUGGUCUCAGUGAACCACAGAACUCCGAGAUUUGAGGGCAGAAACACUUUAAAAAAGACUGGUCUGGAAGGGAAGGGUGGCUAAGGUGGGCAGCCCAAGUUCUUCCAGAAUUUGCUACCCUUGACUCUUUCUCUUUCACUAUAUAUGGCCUCUGCACUGGGUGACCUACCCUAGGCUCAGACAAGCAGCUUUCAUUCAGCAGAGAAAGCCUAAGAUGGAGUCAUCAAGUACAGUGGAAGCUAGGUCACACUCUCUAACUCUGAGAGUGAAUGGAGCCUGUGGUUCUCCCAUUUACAGGGCUCACCGCCCCUCAUCCCCCAGGGGACUGGUCACUCACACAGUGGAGAAGUUCUCUGCUUGUAGCCAGGCUGUGACCUCCUCAGGCUUUGAGCUCAGGCGAAGCAUUGGGGCCUGGAAUCAAGGAGCACUAGAAGUCAGAGGUCAUCCCAUCUUACAAACAUACACAGCCUCCUGUAUUGGGUCCCUUCUACUGAGAUCCCAUCAGGAUGCUUAUCUCACCUUCUGGUUUCCUAGUUCGGCAGGGACGCUCACCUAAUCUUUGUUCAGACCCUAUAAUGAACUUGGCACCGAGGAAGCAUGCAAUGAUAUUGAUUAAACUGAACUAAGAUUGUC